UACGUAGGUGACAAGCGUUGUCCGGAUUUACUGGGCGUAAAGAGCGCGCAGGCGGUCGAUCAAGUCGAGUGUGAAAGCCCCCGGCUCAACUGGGGAGGGUCAUUCGAAACUGGUCGACUCGAAGGCAGGAGAGGGUAGUGGAAUUCCCGGUGUAGCGGUGAAAUGCGUAGAUAUCGGAAGGAACAUCAGUGGCGAAAGCGACUUCCUGGACCAAUACUGACGCUCAUGUGCGAAAGCGUGGGGAGCAAACAGG
rnacentral:rRNA from 1 species